CUUCGCCACGCCUUCUCCUCCUCCUCCGGCUGGCGAUGUUUGCAGUCAGCUGGCUGCAAAAAGCGAGCCGGGGUAGAAGCGCAAAGAGAGCAAGCGUGGAAUCGGGAGCACUUUAACGCAGGAUUUAAACCCACGAAGAGACCCUGCCCACCGGACCAUCAACUUGCAUUGCACGCUCCGGAUUGGCUGGAGUGGGUGGCAGAAGGUAACCGAUCCCGUAUUGGUCGCUGAGCGUGGCUGGACUUCUCUCUGAUUGGGCCUAGGGUAGCUGUGUAGAGCA